GUCGGCAUAGUUUUAAUAAAAUACUAGAUUGUGGUUCUAGAGAUGGGGGUGAAAGCCCCCCCGCCAACC
rnacentral:tRNA from 2 species